rnacentral:rRNA from 1 species
GAUGAACGCUGGCGGCGUGCCUAAUACAUGCAAGUCGAGCGAACGGACGAGAAGCUUGCUUCUCUGAUGUUAGCGGCGGACGGGUGAGUAACACGUGGAUAACCUACCUAUAAGACUGGGAUAACUUCGGGAAACCGGAGCUAAUACCGGAUGAUAUUUUGAACCGCAUGGUUCAAAAGUGAAAGACGGUCUUGCUGUCACUUAUAGAUGGAUCCGCGCUGCAUUAGCUAGUUGGUAAGGUAACGGCUUACCAAGGCAACGAUGCAUAGCCGACCUGAGAGGGUGAUCGGCCACACUGGAACUGAGACACGGUCCAGACUCCUACGGGAGGCAGCAGUAGGGAAUCUUCCGCAAUGGGCGAAAGCCUGACGGAGCAACGCCGCGUGAGUGAUGAAGGUCUGCGGAUCGUAAAACUCUGUUAUUAGGGAAGAACAUAUGUGUAAGUAACUGUGCACAUCUGGACGGUACCUAAUCAGAAAGCCACGGCUAACUACGG